CCAGAGAUGCUUUUAAAGUUCUACAAGCAACAUUUUCAUGUUCAAUGUGGAGGUCCAAGAAACUAACUUGGGAAAGGAGAGGGAAAGUUCUUAUUUUCAUAUGCUGAAUAAAUUACCAGAAAUAGAGCUUGGCUCGGUACAUCACAUGUCUUCAGACCAAGAACAACUAUGCUGGAGAAGCUGUAUUUCCUUCGCCAUCACUGAGGAGCCUCAUCUGUACCUGGAAUGAAUUAAGAUAUCAAUGUCCUAUUUUGACUGCAUGCUGUUUAGAAAUGAGACUUUGAGAAGUCUUAGGAGAGGGGUCUCACUCUCUGGCCCAGACUGCAGUGCCAUGGUGCAAGCAUAGCUCACUCAGCUUUAACCUCCUGGGCUCAAGCGAUCCUCUCACCUCAGCCUCCCGAGUAGCUGGGAUUCCAGGCACAC